rnacentral:rRNA from 1 species
UGUAAGCACAUGCCUUAAAACGGUAAAGCCGCGAAUGGCUCGGUAUAACAGCCACUGUUUAUUAAACUCUAGUUAUCUACUUGGAUAACUGUGGCAAUUCUAGAGCUAAUACAUGCACGCAGGCUCGGACCUUUUGGGAAGAGCGCAUUUAUUAGACCAAAACCAAUCGGGCUUCGGCCUGUGUUUUGGUGACUCUGAAUAACUAAGUCGAUCGCACAGUCUUAGUACUGGCGACGUAUUUUUCAAAUGUCUGCCUUAUCAACUUUCGAUGGUAGGUUAUACGCCUACCAUGGUUAUAACGGGUAACGGAGAAUUAGGGUUCGACUCCGGAGAGGGAGCCUGAGAAAUGGCUACCACAUCCAAGGAAGGCAGCAGGCGCGCAAAUUACCCAAUCCCAGAACGGGGAGGUAGUGACGAAAAAUAACGAGGUAAUCCACUUUGUGGCUUGCCAUCGGAAUGGGCACAAU